GCUUGGAUCGUCUAGUGGUUAGGACUCAAGGUUUUAACCCUUGCUACAGAGGUUCGAAUCCUCUUCUGAGCU
rfam:Pseudocohnilembus persalinus scaffold2079, whole genome shotgun sequence.